rnacentral:misc_RNA from 1 species
UUUCCGUAGGCGAACCUGCGGAAGGAUCAUUCAUAAUAAAGUGUUUUAUGGCACUUUAUAAAAAUCCAUAUCCACCUUGUGUGCAAUGUUAGAUCUCGUCAAUCUUGGCGAGAUUUUUAUACAUCAACUCAUUCUUUAACUAAUUUGUCUGAAAAAUAUUAUGAAUACUUAAUUCAAAAUACAACUUUCAACAACGGAUCUCUUGGCUCUC